GGGCCCUUAGCUCAACGGCAGAGCAGCGGACUCAUAAUCCGUUGGUUGUAGGUUCGAAUCCUUCAGGGCCCACCA
rnacentral:tRNA from 1 species